CUUUUCCAGUCCUGUAGCCACUGCUGAGUUUUCCAAAUUUGCUGGCAUACGAUAGCUUAGGUCUACUCAGAAAUUAUCUGGAAACUGACAAAGGAUGCAUCUUUUCAGCUUUGUGUUCAGAACCCAUUUACCUUUUACCUGUUUUUUAUUAAAGAUACUGACACUUCAGAUAAGCAAGAGAGAAGACAUGAAUCUCUUUUGCUUCUACCACCCUCAGCCACUGUACAAAUGAGUAUUUUGAAGGGUGUAUUAUUUAAUAAAGGACUUUACAUUCAUUUUCUCCCACGUUGCUCCACACAACACAUAAGGUCAGUGCAUUUAUGUUCCUUGCAUCUUAUAGCCAAGGGAAGGCAGCUCAGUAGGAAGUGUGUUCACCGAGCAUCUCUCCUGGUAUGUGCAGUGUGUGGACACAGGUUGGCCCACUUUUUGCUUCUAUGCUGGGUCCCCGCAACUUGAAGGCAUGUCUCUCAUUUUGGAAAGUAAGGCAGAUGAGAUGAGGCAGCUUUGAGCUGGGUUUCCAAAGGUCUGGGCCACAGCUGACUGCCGUCUGCAGUGCUGCCUGGGUAGCAGACAAAGCUCUCGGGAACUGGGUAGCUGCUUAUCACCAUACUUCAGCCCUCUAGUCAGGAAAAGAGCUCAGCUAGUGAACAGCUCACAGGAAUGAGGGCACUUACCUCGGACCAGAAACCAUGUCUGAAGACAACUCUGCCCACUUCCUCCUUUUCGGCCACAGAGAAAGGAUGCUCCAGAGAUGCUGAGGGUUCCUCAUGGGGCAGCACGUCUCACAGUGUGCACACAAGUCCCCUGGGUUCUUGUCCGAUGGCUGACUAGGAUUCAGAUGACUGAAAUUCCACAUUUCUAAUCAAUCUCCCAGGAAGCUCUACUGUCCCCAGUCCUUGACCAAACUAGGCAAGAAACUCAGUGACAAGAAACCCUUCUCAGGAUGCCCCUGGCUUUCAAGUCCAAGCCCAGGCUUUUUACCGCAGCUCCCACGGUCUGCUUGACUCAACCCCCAUUUCCAGCCUCUGCCUCCAUCUUCAUUACUGCAUGGUCUCCUGAUCCUCAAAAGACCCGUAUCCAGAAAACUUAAAUAACUCCAACAAGCCCACUAAAAAACUACAAACAGUCCCGUAGAAAACCGAAUACGAAACUGGACUAGGCAUCUGAUGCUUGCCGUUUGAGGGGUAGGCAAAAACUACCAGGUGGAGGGGCCGCUGUCGACCUUCUCAAUCCAACUGGGCAGAAGCCGCCUUUAGGGGAAGCCUCAGGUGGGAAGCUGCAUCCACGGAACCCGCAGAAAGUUGCCUUGGGGCUGAUCUUGAAUUCACUGGUCCACCUGACGACUGAGCUCCCCAGGGACAAGGACACGAGCCCACACCCCUCCCCCUGCAGUACACCCUGCACUGACCAAGCUUAACAUGGAGCCAGCUGGCAACAGAGAACCAUCAAGAGGGUCCGGUUCUGCACUCACAGGCUGUGCACUCAAGGGUGGGUUUGGAGCGGAGAGGCAAUACAUUGAAAACUGGCAUGGGGGCAAAGAAUGGCCAUGAAUCGGGAGUUCUUUACACACUCUUGAACACUUCUAUAUGUUUGAAAUUACUCCUAAAUUAAAAAACUGUACUAGGAGAACGCCAUUCGCUGAAACUGGUCAAAAUAAGACGUUGGGGAGGAUGCUUUCUUGAUUUUAAAAAUUGCAUUG
ensembl:lncRNA